rnacentral:rRNA from 1 species
AUUGAACGCUGGCGACAGGCCUAACACAUGCAAGUCGAGCGGAUGAAGGGAGCUUGCUCCUGGAUUCAGCGGCGGACGGGUGAGUAAUGCCUAGGAAUCUGCCUGGUUGUGGGGGAUUACGUCCGGAAACGGGCGCUAAUACCGCAUACGUCCUGAGGGAGAAAGUGGGGGAUCUUCGGACCUCACGCUAUCAUAUGAGCCUAGGUCGGAUUAGCUAGUUGGUGGGGUAAAGGCCUACCAAGGCGACGAUCCGUAACUGGUCUGAGUGGAUGAUCAGUCACACUGGAACGAAGACACGAUCCAGACGCCUACGGGGGGAAGCAGUGGGGAAUAUUGUACAAUGGGCGAAAGCCGGAUCCAGCCAUGCCGCGGGUGGGAAGAAGGUCUUCGGAUUGUAAAGCACUUUAAGUUGGGAGGAAGGGCAGUAAGUUAAUACCUUGCUGUUUUGACGGUACCAACAGAAUAAGCACCGGCUAACUUCGUG